CCGGUAGCUCAGGCGGUUAGAGCGCACGCCUGAUAAGCGUGAGGUCGGAGGUUCAAGUCCUCCUCGGCC
rnacentral:tRNA from 2 species